GCUCAAGUAGCUUAAACCAAAGCCUUGGCCUUGUAAACCAAAAAUGGGCCUACCCGGCCCCUAGAGCA
rnacentral:tRNA from 1 species